AGAGUUUGAUCCUGGCUCAGAUUGAACGCUGGCGGCAUGCCAUACACAUGCAAGUCGAACGGCAGCACGAGAGCUUGCUCUUGGUGGCGAGUGGCGAACGGGUGAGUAAUAUAUCGGAACGUACCCUAGAGUGGGGGAUAACGUAGCGAAAGUUACGCUAAUACCGCAUACGAUCUACGGAUGAAAGUGGGGGAUCGCAAGACCUCAUGCUCAUGGAGCGGCCGAUAUCUGAUUAGCUAGUUGGUGGGGUAAAAGCUCACCAAGGCGACGAUCAGUAGCUGGUCUGAGAGGACGACCAGCCACACUGGAACUGAGACACGGUCCAGACUCCUACGGGAGGCAGCAGUGGGGAAUUUUGGACAAUGGGCGCAAGCCUGAUCCAGCAAUGCCGCGUGAGUGAAGAAGGCCUUCGGGUUGUAAAGCUCUUUUGUCAGGGAAGAAACGGUGGACUCUAAUACAGAUCACUAAUGACGGUACCUGAAGAAUAAGCACCGGCUAACUACGUGCCAGCAGCCGCGGUAAUACGUAGGGUGCAAGCGUUAAUCGGAAUUACUGGGCGUAAAGCGUGCGCAGGCGGUUGUGCAAGACAGAUGUGAAAUCCCCGGGCUCAACCUGGGAAUUGCAUUUGUGACUGCACGGCUAGAGUGUGUCAGAGGGGGGUAGAAUUCCACGUGUAGCAGUGAAAUGCGUAGAGAUGUGGAGGAAUACCGAUGGCGAAGGCAGCCCCCUGGGAUAACACUGACGCUCAUGCACGAAAGCGUGGGGAGCAAACAGGAUUAGAUACCCUGGUAGUCCGCGCCCUAAACGAUGUCUACUAGUUGUCGGGUCUUAAUUGACUUGGUAACGCAGCUAACGCGUGAAGUAGACCGCCUGGGGAGUACGGUCGCAAGAUUAAAACUCAAAGGAAUUGACGGGGACCCGCACAAGCGGUGGAUGAUGUGGAUUAAUUCGAUGCAACGCGAAAAACCUUACCUACCCUUGACAUGUCUGGAAUCCUUGAGAGAUCAGGGAGUGCUCGAAAGAGAAUCAGAACACAGGUGCUGCAUGGCUGUCGUCAGCUCGUGUCGUGAGAUGUUGGGUUAAGUCCCGCAACGAGCGCAACCCUUGUCAUUAGUUGCUACGAAAGGGCACUCUAAUGAGACUGCCGGUGACGAACCGGAGGAAGGUGGGGAUGACGUCAAGUCCUCAUGGCCCUUAUGGGUAGGGCUUCACACGUCAUACAAUGGUACAUACAGAGGGCCGCCAACCCGCGAGGGGGAGCUAAUCCCAGAAAGUGUAUCGUAGUCCGGAUUGUAGUCUGCAACUCGACUACAUGAAGUUGGAAUCGCUAGUAAUCGCGGAUCAGCAUGUCGCGGUGAAUACGUUCCCGGGUCUUGUACACACCGCCCGUCACACCAUGGGAGCGGGUUUCACCAGAAGUGGGUAGCCUAACCGCAAGGAGGGCGCUCACCACGGUGGGAUUCGUGACUGGGGUGAAGUCGUAACAAGGUA
rnacentral:rRNA from 1 species